AUAAGGACUUUCGGUAUCCAAUACCCAGGCAGUAGUAUCACAAAUGGAAAAGUUACAAGGUGUUAUCAUAUAAGUACCUUGCUUCUUCUUCGGCCUGUUCGGGUCCAGGGAAGCAAUGUAUAGAGGACAGUUCUUUUUUCAGUGCCCCUGCUUCUUGCAAAAGAAGCACUCCGCCUGGCUCUGGUCGGGCUUGCGCUUCUUGGUCUGACCCUGUGCAGACGUCCCAGCAUGCAGCUGCACCUUCUUAUUCUUCUUCUUCUUGUUCUUCUUCCCUUUCUUAAAGGGUCGACGACCAGAAGAAGACCCUCCCAUAAUAUUCACCGACUUCUUAUGGAGCUGGUGAUCCUUCUCAAAGUUCUACAGCAACCCCAAC
rnacentral:lncRNA from 1 species